GGUCGACGGUAACAGGAAGCAGCUUGCUGCUUCGCUGACGAGUGGCGGACGGGGGAGUAAUGUCUGGGAAACUGCCUGAUGGAGGGGGAUAACUACUGGAAACGGUAGCUAAUACCGCAUAACGUCGCAAGACCAAAGAGGGGGACCUUCGGGCCUCUUGCCAUCGGAUGUGCCCAGAUGGGAUUAGCUAGUGGUGGGGUAACGGCUCACCUAGGCGACGAUCCCUAGCUGGUCUGAGAGGAUGACCAGCCACACUGGAACUGAGACACGGUCCAGACUCCUACGGGAGGCAGCAGUGGGGAAUAUUGCACAAUGGGCGCAAGCCUGAUGCAGCCAUGCCGCGUGUAUGAAGAAGGCCUUCGGGUUGUAAAGUACUUUCAGCGGGGAGGAAGGCGUUGAGGUUAAUAACCUCAGCAAUUGACGUUACCCGCAGAAGAAGCACCGGCUAACUCCGUGCCAGCAGCCGCGGUAAUACGGAGGGUGCAAGCGUUAAUCGGAAUUACUGGGCGUAAAGCGCACGCAGGCGGUCUGUCAAGUCGGAUGUGAAAUCCCCGGGCUCAACCUGGGAACUGCAUUCGAAACUGGCAGGCUAGAGUCUUGUAGAGGGGGGUAGAAUUCCAGGUGUAGCGGUGAAAUGCGUAGAGAUCUGGAGGAAUACCGGUGGCGAAGGCGGCCCCCUGGACAAAGACUGACGCUCAGGUGCGAAAGCGUGGGGAGCAAACAGGAUUAGAUACCCUGGUAGUCCACGCCGUAAACGAUGUCGACUUGGAGGUUGUGCCCUUGAGGCGUGGCUUCCGGAGCUAACGCGUUAAGUCGACCGCCUGGGGAGUACGGCCGCAAGGUUAAAACUCAAAUGAAUUGACGGGGGCCCGCACAAGCGGUGGGAGCAUGUGGUUUAAUUCGAUGCAACGCGAAGAACCUUUACCUACUCUUGACAUCCAGAGAACUUUACCAGAGAUGCUUUGGUUGCUUCGGGAAACUCUGAAAACAGGUGCUGCAUGGGCUGUCGUCAGCUCGUGUGUGAAUGGUGCUUAAGGUCCCGCAACGAGCGCAACCUUAUCCUUUGUUGCAGCGGGUCGGGCCGGAACCUCAAAGAGACUGCCAGUGAUUAACUUGGAAGAAGGUGGGAAUG
rnacentral:rRNA from 1 species